UCGCUAGCAAACGCUGACUUGCAUAAGACUGAUAUUGUUUACUGUUGCUUAGUUUACUAUUUCUAGCUGCAAAGGCUUCUGCAAGUGUGCGAAGAAUUAA
rnacentral:misc_RNA from 1 species